rnacentral:rRNA from 1 species
AUAUCAAUAAGCGGAGGAAAAGAAACCAACAGGGAUUGCCCUAGUAACGGCGAGUGAAGCGGCAACAGCUCAAAUUUGAAAUCUGGCCCUAGGCCCGAGUUGUAAUUUGUAGAGGAUGCUUUUGGUGCGGCGCCUUCUGAGUUCCCUGGAACGGGACGCCACUAGGAGGUA